rnacentral:rRNA from 1 species
UACGUAGGGUGCGAGCGUUGUCCGGAAUUAUUGGGCGUAAAGGGCUCGUAGGCGGUUUGUCGCGUCGGGAGUGAAAACCCAGGGCUUAACCCUGGGCUGGCUUCCGAUACGGGCAGACUAGAGGUAUGCAGGGGAGAACGGAAUUCCUGGUGUAGCGGUGAAAUGCGCAGAUAUCAGGAGGAAGACCAGUGGCGAAGGCGACUACCUGGCCUGUCCUUGACGCUGAGGCGCGAAAGCUAGGGGAGCAAACGGG